rnacentral:rRNA from 1 species
UGCAGUCGAGCGAGCUUGCCUAGAUGAAUUUGGUGCUUGCACCAGAUGAAACUAGAUACAAGCGAGCGGCGGACGGGUGAGUAACACGUGGGUAACCUGCCCAAGAGACUGGGAUAACACCUGGAAACAGAUGCUAAUACCGGAUAACAACACUAGACGCAUGUCUAGAGUUUAAAAGAUGGUUCUGCUAUCACUCUUGGAUGGACCUGCGGUGCAUUAGCUAGUUGGUAAGGUAACGGCUUACCAAGGCAAUGAUGCAUAGCCGAGUUGAGAGACUGAUCGGCCACAUUGGGACUGAGACACGGCCCAAACUCCUACGGGAGGCAGCAGUAGGAAAUCUUCCACAAUGGACGCAAGUCUGAUGGAGCAACGCCGCGUGAGUGAAGAAGGGUUUCGGCUCGUAAAGCUCUGUUGGUAGUGAAGAAAGAUAGAGGUAGUAACUGGCCUUUAUUUGACGGUAAUUACUUAGAAAGUCACGGCUAACUACGUGCCAGCAGCCGCGGUAAUACGUAGGUGGCAAGCGUUGUCCGGAUUUAUUGGGCGUAAAGCGAGUGCAGGCGGUUCAAUAAGUCUGAUGUGAAAGCCUUCGGCUCAACCGGAGAAUUGCAUCAGAAACUGUUGAACUUGAGUGCA